GCUGAGAUAGCUCAGUCAGUAGAGCAUGAGACUUGUGAUAACAGGGCUGUGGGUUCAAGCCCACAUUGGGCA